UACGUAGGCAGCAAGCGUUGUUCGGAAUUACUGGGCGUAAAGAGUGUGUAGGUGGUGCUCCAAGUCUGUUGUGAAAUCUCCCGGCUUAACUGGGAGGGUGCGGCGGAAACUGGAAUGCUUGAGGAUGGGAGAGGAAAGCGGAAUUCCUGGUGUAGCGGUGAAAUGCGUAGAUAUCAGGAGGAACACCUGUGGUGUAGACAGCUUACUGGACCACUUCUGACGCUGAGACACGAAAGCGUGGGUAGCAAACAGG
rnacentral:rRNA from 1 species